GGGUUGUGAGGUUAAGCGACUAAGCGUACACGGUGGAUGCCCUGGCAGUCAGAGGCGAUGAAGGACGUGCUAAUCUGCGAAAAGCGUCGGUAAGGUGAUAUGAACCGUUAUAACCGGCGAUGUCCGAAUGGGGAAACCCAGUGCAAUUCGUUGCACUAUCGUUAACUGAAUACAUAGGUUAACGAGGCGAACCGGGGGAACUGAAACAUCUAAGUACCCCGAGGAAAAGAAAUCAACCGAGAUUCCCCCAGUAGCGGCGAGCGAACGGGGAGCAGCCCAGAGUCUGAAUCAGCUUGUGUGUUAGUGGAACGGUCUGGAAAGUCCGACGGUACAGGGUGAUAGUCCCGUACACCAAAAUGCACAGGCUGUGAACUCGAAGAGUAGGGCGGGACACGUGGUAUCCUGUCUGAAUAUGGGGGGACCAUCCUCCAAGGCUAAAUACUCCUGACUGACCGAUAGUGAACCAGUACCGUGAGGGAAAGGCGAAAAGAACCCCGGCGAGGGGAGUGAAAAAGAACCUGAAACCGUGUACGUACAAGCAGUGGGAGCACCUUCGGGUGUGACUGCGUACCUUUUGUAUAAUGGGUCAGCGACUUAUA
rnacentral:rRNA from 1 species